rnacentral:misc_RNA from 1 species
GGAAGUAAAAGUCGUAACAAGAUUUCCGUAGGUGAACCUGCGGAAGGAUCAUUAAAGUUAUAGUCCCCCGGCCCCUCCGGGCUGGGGUCUUCUAUACCACCCUUUGUUUAUUACACCUUUGUUGCUUUGGCAGGCCUGCCCUCGGGCUGCUGGCUCCGGCCGGCUCGUGCCUGCCAGAGGACCUAAACUCUGUUUGUAUAUGAAGUCUGAGUACUAUAUAAUAGUUAAAACUUUCAACAACGGAUCUCUUGGUUCUG